rnacentral:ncRNA from 1 species
GAUCGUAGGUUGACAUAGCAACCCCUUCCUCUUUCUGUAACAUUUAAGUUUUAUCACAAUAAAUUUAUUCAUACAUUUUUUAUAUAUAUAAUAUAUAAGUCCAAUCGAUUAACCGAAACGUUUACUUUGAAAAAAAUAGAGUGUUCAAAACAGGCUCUCGAGCCUGAUGCAUGUAACAAUGGAAUAGGACCUCGGUUCUAUUUUGUUUGUUUAUGAAUCGCGAGGUAAUGAUUAAGAGGGACAGACGGGGGCAUUCGUACUGUGCCGAUAGAUGUAAAAUUCUUGGAUCGGCGCAAGACGAACGACUGCGAAAACAUUUGCCAAGAAUGUUUUCUUUAAUCAAGAGC